GGCGGCGUGGCUGAGUGGCACGUAGGCGCCCGGCUGCAACCCGGGUCACGCAGGUUCGAUUCCUGUCGUCGCCU
rnacentral:tRNA from 1 species